GGUUUUAUGAGUCUUUUGUUUGUGGAGACAGGCAGCACAGAGGAUGAGAAGAGACUUCUGAGCAGCCAUGGAUGAGUUACAGUUGCAGCAGGCAUCCAGCAGCCGAAGCCUCCUCAAGCUCACUGGCAUGGAGGUCAAGUGGAUUCACGUGUUGGUCAUCUUCUUCUUCCUGAUGUCUGUUGCGAUGACAGGCUGCUUUCUGUGGCAGUACAGCCUCCCCAAGGUGGAGUCCAGCCCAUCUGUAAUGGACAUGAGAGCAGAAGCUGUGCAGAUGUGCCCCCGCUAUCCAGAACCAGUACCGCUGGACCACCCAAUCCCCAUUCUGAAGGAUGCAUUGGGAAAGGUCUGUGAGGAGAACAGAACAGAGGGACAUGGAGCUCAUGACUUCUUUUCUGAAGGUGUAAAGGGGAAAAUAUGUAUUUUGCCACUGAGCAUCUCUGGGGGAAGAGGUGGGGAAUUGAGGAAGUGGAGAAGAUGUGAAUGUAGAAAUGGGUAUACAGAACUCCUUCACUGAAUAUACAGACCAGGUCAGUAAGCAGUUCUCUUAUCCAAAGGGUAAGCUAUGAUGAAGAAACAGUAUUACCUGUCCAUCAGAAGAUCCGGUGAGCAUAUAACAGCACAUGGCUCCUGGCAUCUUGCCUAAUAUUAGGCAGUUCUCAUGUCCUGGAAAGUGACUCAUGUAACCAUUUCCUCUUCAUCAGUGACUGCCAAUUCCUUAUUUUAUUGCUUUGCUGGCUUUCCCCAUGGCACCAUUUAAAGAUUAAAAAGCCACUUGCAGGUAACUUCAAGGAAAGAAAUGGAGGGAAAUGGGAAGAAGGGGACAUGCAUCUGAAUGAGAGACCUGUUUUUCCUCCGUAUGAUAUACUGCCUCUGAAAUUUUAAAACUGUCUGAAAUUCGGGUAGGCUCUAUUUGCAAUGAGGAAAUACCGCAGCAUUGCCUUGAUUGUAUGGACCAUAAGGACAGCCAUGCUCUGACAGAAGACUGCUGGUAGUAUAUAUCAUAAAAUAUAUCCUCUCAUUAGUCUCUUUCUCAUUAGCAGCUUGAUUAGUCAUAAUAGAAGCUGCCCCACAGCUCUGAUCAUUCUUUUUACCCUUUUUUGAAUCUCUUCCGACUCUAGCAUACUCCUGUGAAGAUGUGGGAAAUCAGUACUGUGCACAGUAUUCGAGGUGCAAGUGGAUUAGGGAUUUAUACAGUGAUAAAAUGGUGUUUUCUGUUUUAUUUUAUGUUACUUCUCUCAUAAUCCCUCAUAUCUGAUUUACCUUUUUUUUUUUUUCUGCCACAGGGCACUGAGCAAAUGUUUACAUAGGAGCAUCCAUCACAGCCCCAAGGUCUCGUUCCUGAGUGCUAAAGCCCAGCUCACUGCCCAUCUGUGUCUAUGUGUUGUGAAGUUAGGGUUGUUUUCCUUCAGGCAUGUCACUUUAUCUACACUGAAUUUCGGUUGCUGUCACUUCACAUCCACUUUUCUGAAGUCUGUGCCACUGUCUCUGGGGUUACUGUAGAGAGGUAUUUUAUU
rnacentral:lncRNA from 1 species